UAGCAGAGAUUGAGAGACAUAACAAUGGGAUGCUGGUCCCUGCCCUUGGGGCUUAAUUUUUCAGUACCAUUUAGUUUCUUCUUUUGUUACUAAAUGCCCUUCAGGGCCCAGAACACUGUGUCUUGCCCCAUUACACUGUGCAACGCAACUCUUGUUAAUUGCGAAACAACAGCGGAAACCCCCGAAAGUAGCCCAGAAUUUGCUCUGGUUCACCUAGACUGCCUCUCCCUGAUCGAUUGAGCAGGACUGGAAAGUGCAGAAAGAGUGGAUCAGGCCGGAAACAAAUGCAGAACAGAAGAUCUACUGAUGAAGCCUGACAAAGAGGAGGGAUAACGGGUAAGGAGAGAAGCGAGAUAUAGGCAAAGAAAAAGAAGUACAGAGGGAAAAGGAAACCAGACCAGUGAAAACCUCGAAAAAGAAAGCCUGACCAUUGAGAUGAGAAAGAGAACUGUGAGCCUAUCUACCUGGAUUAGACAUCCACAAGCUGGACAUAAACACUACCACUCCCUGGGAACUGGCUGGUGCGGACAGCCCUACACUGCGAGGAGGCAGCAGACGCUGGGCUGGCUGGGCGGAGCGCAGCCCCCAGAGACUCAGCACCGGAUCUAAAUCAUGGCUCUGCAUUCCACAGUCCUCUUUCCACUCACAAAUAACACUGGGCUGAUCCAUCAUCCGUCUAGUCUACAGACUCUACUGACUCUAAUGACUACUGAUUCCACAGACUUCACUGAUUCUACUGAUUACAUUGACUUUACUUAUUCUAUGCACUGACUUGAUUAUAUUGAUUCAAUUUAUUCUACAUACAGUAUUGUUUCUACUGAUCCUAUUGACUAAUUUCAAGUUGAAAGGCCCAUGCUGAGCUUCAAGAUGUGGGGAUAUGAAUGUAUGAUCAAGUAUGGCAUGGACUCUGUAGAUCUAUGUGACAUAUGUUAACUGGUCUAGAAAUAUCAAGGGGGGAAUGGGAUAAAACAACAAGAAGCAUAUCUGUGGAAUACAAAAAUGUAAAGUAUUUUUACAAUAUUGUUAUUUAUGCCCUGUCAGGGAUGUAUAUACCAGGUUUGCCAUAUGUCAUGUUAUGUAUGAUGAUGUGUGAUAUACAAGGAACACUUUUAUUUGCAGUUUUCCAACUUCAGAUGAAGAACAGUAAUUAAAUGUACGCUAAUGUUUGUGCAAUAAAAAUGUGACAAAACUUCCCUGAAAACCUUCUGGGAGUGGUUCUUCAAGAAAAUGUUUUUGUAUGGGAAAGAUUCCACAGGCAUGGUA